UACGUAGGGUGCAAGCGUUGUCCGGAAUUACUGGGCGUAAAGCGUGCGCAGGCGGUUUUGUAAGCCAGAUGUGAAAUCCCCGGGCUCAACCUGGGAAUGGCAUUUGGGACUGCAAGGCUGGAGUGCGGCAGAGGAGACUGGAAUUCCUGGUGUAGCAGUGAAAUGCGUAGAUAUCAGGAGGAAUACCGAUGGCGAAGGCAGGUCUCUGGGCUGACACUGAAGCUCAUGCACGAAAGCGUGGGGAGCAAACAGG
rnacentral:rRNA from 1 species